UGCAACUCGCCUGCAUGAAGCUGGAAUUGCUAGUAAUCGCGGAUCAGCAAGCCGCGGUGAAUACGUUCCCGGGCCUUGUACACACCGCCCGUCACACCAUGAGAGUCGGGAACACCCGAAGUCCGUAGUCUAACCGCAAGGGGGGCGCGGCCGAAGGUGGGUCCGGUAAUUGGGUGAAGUCGUAACAAGGUAUC
rnacentral:rRNA from 1 species